rnacentral:rRNA from 1 species
ACCAUGCACCGAAGCUGCGGCAGCGACGCUGAUGCGUUGUUGGGUAGGGGAGCGUUCUGUAAGCCUGCGAAGGUGUGCUGUGAGGCAUGCUGGAGGUAUCAGAAGUGCGAAUGCUGACAUAAGUAACGAUAAAGCGGGUGAAAAGCCCGCUCGCCGGAAGACCAAGGGUUCCUGUCCAACGUUAAUCGGGGCAGGGUGAGUCGACCCCUAAGGCGAGGCCGAAAGGCGUAGUCGAUGGGAAACAGGUUAAUAUUCCUGUACUUGGUGUUACUGCGAAGGGGGGACGGAGAAGGCUAUGUUGGCCGGGCGACGGUUGUCCCGGUUUAAGCGUGUAGGCUGGUUUUCCAGGCAAAUCCGGAAAAUCAAGGCUGAGGCGUGAUGACGAGGCACUACGGUGCUGAAGCAACAAAUGCCCUGCUUCCAGGAAAAGCCUCUAAGCAUCAGGUAACAUCAAAUCGUACCCCAAACCGACACAGGUGGUCAGGUAGAGAAUACCAAGGCGCUUGAGAGAACUCGGGUGAAGGAACUAGGCAAAAUGGUGCCGUAACUUCGGGAGAA